UACGAAGGGUGCAAACGUUGCUCGGAAUCAUUGGGCGUAAAGCGCACGUAGGCGGCUUCAAAAGUCGGAUGUGAAAUCCCUCGGCUCAACCGAGGACGUGCAUCCGAAACUGUGAGGCUUGAGUACUGAAGAGGAUCGCGGAAUUCCCGGUGUAGAGGUGAAAUUCGUAGAUAUUCGCAAGAACACCAGUGGCGAAGGCGGCUCACUGGCCCGGUACUGACGCUGAGGUGCGAAAGCGUGGGGAGCAAACAGG
rnacentral:rRNA from 1 species